rnacentral:rRNA from 1 species
CCUACGGAGGCAGCAGUGAGGAAUAUUGGUCAAUGGGAGAGAUCCUGAACCAGCCAAGCCGCGUGAGGGAAGACGGCCCUAUGGGUUGUAAACCUCUUUUGUCGGAGAACAAAACCCGGGACGUGUCCCGGACUGCGUGUAUCCGAAGAAAAAGCAUCGGCUAACUCCGUGCCAGCAGCCGCGGUAAUACGGAGGAUGCGAGCGUUAUCCGGAUUUAUUGGGGUUAAAGGGUGUGUAGGCGGUCCGUUAAGUCAGCGGUAAAAUUGCGGGGCUCAACCCCGUCGAGCCGUUGAAACUGGCAGACUUGAGUUGGCGAGAAGUACGCGGAAUGCGCGGUGUAGCGGUGAAAUGCAUAGAUAUCGCGCAGAACUCCGAUGGCGAAGGCAGCGUACCGGCGCCAGACUGACGCUGAGGCACGAAAGCGUGGGGAUCGAACAGGAUUAGAUACCCCAGUAGUC